rnacentral:lncRNA from 1 species
CGGUGGGCUGGGACCGCCCCGAGCGGGCGGUGCUCACCGAUUCCCCCCUCCCUGCCUUUCCCCCCCGGCAGUUCCCUGGGGUCGGUCCCGGUUGGUGCCUUCCGACGGCAGCAUCCCGGGGACAUCGUGGUGCCCUCAGUGUCACAUAAUCCCAGCAGUUCCCUGUACCAACAACCCGACAGCUCCAGGAGCUGCUUUCCCAGCACCAGUAACCCCAGUUCACCCAGAUACUGGGCAACCUGAAGGCUCCCAAAGGCUUUCCCCCAUUGGAUCCAUAGGGACCCCAGUCAUGAAGGAGGCUCAGGGGUCCAGUGUCAAUAAGUUGGGAAAUGCAGUUGAUACUGAGACCUCCUCCAUCCCUCCUGAGGUGAAGUGACCCCACGCAGCACCCGUCGCCUGCCCCCCAGCCUCACCCCCCCAUGCCACCCUCCUGCAGGGCUGGCACCAGUCAAUGUUUAACCGAAGCAGUGGUACCGGUUGUGUGGGGCAGACAGAGCUGGCUGCUGGUGGAUCCCACCGGGGCUGAGCAGGCACUGCUGCCGCCCUGAUUGAGGGGUGCUGAGAGAGAAUGGAGGCAGAGGAGGAGCGGGGCUGGGGGCCCCAAGCAGGAACACGGCCCAAAAUGCUUCCACGGAGCCAACUGCGACUGAGUCCCGGCGAGGAGCAGGAGGGCAGAGAAACACGCCUGAGAGUGGUGCUGAGGUCAGUGUCACCUGUUUCCCGGGGCAGUAUCACAAUGGGAUCCCCAAAGAUCCCCAUAUAUUGCCACCUCUGUGUGUCCCCCCCAAUCAGGGUCCGACCACUAACCUGCACAGAGACACGUCGAGGUGACCGGCACGCGGUGCACAGCCUGGGCAAUGGCACCGUCCAUGUAAGUGCCACCUCCCCACGGUGGGGCCAGGGGUUGUGACCCCCUCCUGAGCCACCACCGUCCCUGUGCCCAGGUGAGUGCAGCCAGGCACGAUGCCACCUUCACCUUCAGUGCCGUUUUUGAUGCGGGUGCCUCACAGGAGGCUGUCUUUGAGGGCAGUGGCAUGCAGCAGCUGGUGGAGCUGGCAGUGGAAGGGUGAGCCCCCCAUACGCCCCCCACCCUAAAUUCAGACGGCACCAGGAUGUCUGCAUUGCCCAGACAGUGCCGAGAGGUGGCAUCCCUCUGCCACAGCCUGGGGCCAUGCCUGAGGCUCAGCAUCUCCCCCAGUUUCUCCUGCACUAUUUUCGCCUACGGACAGACAGGCUCAGGGAAAACCUACACCCUGAUGGGCCCUAUGGGACAGGUACCACGCUGGUGCCCAGUAAUAAGACAGGCAGCAGGU